AAAUUGAAGAGUUUGAUCAUGGCUCAGAUUGAACGCUGGCGGCAGGCCUAACACAUGCAAGUCGAACGGUAACAGGAAACAGCUUGCUGUUUCGCUGACGAGUGGCGGACGGGUGAGUAAUGUCUGGGAAACUGCCUGAUGGAGGGGGAUAACUACUGGAAACGGUAGCUAAUACCGCAUAAUGUCGCAAGACCAAAGAGGGGGACCUUCGGGCCUCUUGCCAUCGGAUGUGCCCAGGUGGGAUUAGCUUGU
rnacentral:rRNA from 1 species